ensembl:snoRNA SNORD94 small nucleolar RNA, C/D box 94
UGAGUCAUGGGAGCUGACUGCGAGUGUUUCUUCUCUGACCUGCAUGUGGCAGGACGAGCAGGAGCACUCGUAGGAGACUGCCGCAAUCUGA